rnacentral:tRNA from 1 species
CAGAAGGUAGUUUAUUAGAAUCCUAGCUUUGGGAGCUAGGGGUGGGAGUUCGAACCUCCUCCUUUUGA